rnacentral:lncRNA from 1 species
AAUAUCAUCUAUUUCUGCACUUUAAUUGAAUAUAUCUUAUUAAACUCUUUUGGGCUUUAUUGUUUUAAAUCAUUUUUUGUAUGUGUUAUAGUCCAAUCUAAUUCAAUUUAGAUUAAUUCAAAAUUGGGUCAGUCCAAAAUCAAAUUUUAAAACCCAAAAUUUGAAACUGCAAUAUUUGAUUUUAAGGCUCAAUUAAUUAAAUUUUGAUUAAUUAAAAAGUGAAAAAUAAAACAAUAACAAAAAGCAAAAAAAAAAAAAAAGAAAAAAGCGAAGGGUCUGACUGCCAGCAGACUUUCCCUCACUUUCUCAUCUCAUUGAAUCAUAUUUCUUUUUUCCCAACUUUAUCACCACCAUUCUCAGCUAUCUAUUCUUUUUCUCAUGUUUUAACCCCUCUGACUUUAACACAAAUGAUCAAAGACUCACUGUCCAAAAUUCAGCAGACUCAACCAUCCCAAAUGCGACAAGCCAUUGCUGCUCACUGUAACUACAUUCCGAAAACUCCAAUCAUCUUUUCAAAUUGAUUUCUACUGGGGCUUCUAAUAACAGGGAGGAAUUUCACCAGCAAGAGGGGGCAAUUCACAAAAAGCAAAAGAGGUUUCUGUUUUCAAAAGAGAAAACCUUUUGUCUCCAUGACCACCAAGACCGAACCCCACCAAAAUAACAAAAAUCCCACAUAGCUCCAUCACCACCAAAAAAAAUCCCAGACCCCUAAUCGAGACAGGCCUCCACUAAAAAGCCUUGAACCAGCCAUCGCCUACCACCAAAAGCAACCCAGUCGAGACCAAACUUAAACUUUCCAAGCAACCAAAAUCACAAAGUCCCCACACAGCCCAAUUACCACCACCCUCGAGCAGCACAACCACCACAGCCCGACGACACCUCCCACAGAAACCCCCUGAGCUAUUCCCAAACCACCACUCACCAUCACCAGAUAAUCGAAACACCCACCUAAUAGCAAAAAAUAAAACCAAAACCACAAUAUCAAUCAAUGAAUCAACAACAAACAGCCAAGAAAGCACAAAGAAAACCACAAAGAAAAAGAUAAUAGCAGCAAUAAAAAAAUAACACAAAAACUAAAAUAAAAAGAGUUGGGAUUUUGGUGAAUUUUUCUUGGAAUUUGGUUUCUCGGUUUGAGAUAGAGGUGCACCAGUUUAGAGAGGAGAAAUUUGGAGUCAUUGUCAGGUUUGAACAGCAGUACCGUCAGCGCGACGGCAAUGGUGGCGGUCGACGGCGGUAAUGAUGUUUAGGGAAAUCUUAAGCGGUAGAGAUGAAUAGCAUGAAGAGGAGAAGAACAUACUUUGAUUUCAAAAGAUUCCAACGGCCGCAAGGAAUUUUCGCACCUUGAAGUUUUGGUUUAAAAUUUCAGAUCUAGGCAAAUCUAGAAGGUUUUAGGGAAAACUAAGGUUAGAACGGUGAUUAAGAGUUCAAAGGGAGAUCGGGAUGAAAUUUUUGAGAGGGGUUGGUAACUGAAAGUACCGAUUGACCGUGGUCAGCGCGGCGGUGGAUCAUCGGGAUCUGGGAUUGCUGGGAUCGGCGACUUUGCUAAGUUAGAGAGAGGAGUGAAAAGUUCUUAAAGAAGAGAGAAAUGAUGAAAAAUGAAGAAAAAAAACGUGUUUUUGGAAUUUAAAAAAGUCCCAAACGGUGUAGUUUAGGGAGGAGGAG